CGUCAGAGGGCUAGUGUCCCGAGUGAGGCGGGGAGGGCGGGCGUCGCGUCAGGCCUGGGGAGCCCUGGGGGCUCUCCGCGAUCUUUCCCGGUUGUCCUUGACUGGAGCGCGUGGGAGCCCCCUCUGCGGGGCUUGCAGAAGUAGCAGUCCGAGGUCCCCAGGAUGCUCAGCAUCCGCGAUCUAGGAGAACGGCUGGAAAGUGCUUACUUUUAUGGUGGUUCCAAAUCCAGCGGGUUUUGUGGUGAUAGCUGUAUGUAGUUCCUUUUCUACCCUUGAGCAGAAGCUUAGAAGUGUAACUUUGCAAAGAAAAUUGGAUGCAGCACCUUGAAAUAGAACGGAGAGCCAGGUUAAACCUGACUUUGAGCUUCCUCUACUUUUAUUAGGUAGCUGUGCUUUUAAGACUUACUUUGGUCCCUGGGAAAAGGGGUGAUGCAGAUGUUAAUUCUUUAAUUUUGAUUUGAAUAAACUGUCUCCCAAUUCUACCCUGUAAAAUAUCAGGAUUGGCAAACCUGCUUAAAACCUGGAAGAAAUGCAUAAAAUGGAAAUUGGAAUCUAAUUAAAUUUCAGCAUUGAGGAAUUAGGCAUGGCUUUUACAUUUUGAAGUGUAUACACUGUGAAACUCAUUUUCAGAUGUUUGGGGAACCCUUCUGUUCCCUUGAAAUUUGAUGUAGGAUUUCAAGUAAAUUUUAUUUCUUUUAUUUUUAUUUUUUUUUU